rnacentral:tRNA from 15 species
GGGCAUUUAGCUCAACUGGUUAGAGCACCUCGUUGACGUCGAGGAGGUUAUAGGUUCGAUCCCUAUAGUGCCCA